rnacentral:sRNA from 22 species
AAGAAGAAAAGUUAGUGGGUUUUAGUUACUUAUUGUGAAAUGUAAAUCGAUAAAAAAGAUAUUAGUAAUUUAUUUGCAAUUUAGUUUUAGUUACUUAUUGUGAAAUGUAAAUUGCUCUCUUUUGUGUAAAGCACAUCAAGCAUGUAGCGUUUUAGUUACUUAUUGUGAAAUGUAAAUGCGAUUUUUGUCAAAGGGACAGCGAUGGGUUACAAGUUUUAGUUACUUAUUGUGAAAUGUAAAUUUACCACCAAAGUCCCUACACUCAAUACCACCAAAGCGUUUUAGUUACUUAUUGUGAAAUAUAAAUGAAAACCUGUUAUACAUAGGAUUAUCUAUUUCCGUUAUAAUUAUUCCUUGCAA